CACAAAGAGUUGGACACCUAACUAAAUACACACACACACAUACACAUAGGUAUGGGGAAGAAGCCAGUAGAUAGCUGGGCAGAUUGAGAAUAUAAAUAUAAUAAGCUACAUAUAAAUAUAAUAUUCUAUAAAGAUAGUAAACCAUGUUGUCUAUGGAGGAAUGAUCACAGUUCUCCCAAAAUGCAGCUUGACUCAUGGAAUCCUUUAUUAUGUUACAUGUAAGAAAAUUGCUGGGUCAUCUAAUAAAAAUUUAAUUAAGGCUGGAUGAUAUCACAUUUGUGUUACGUGAAGUCAUCAAAUCCAUGAAACCUUAGAAAUAAAGUUUGUUGGAAAGAGAAUUUCACCUUAAGAAGUAGCAACAAGAAAAAUGAAUGUUUCAUUUAUUUUAUCAGUUUAGCCUGGACUGCAAAAUGUUUGUAACAUGAUAAAUAAAGUACAUUAGAGAAAAGGGCAUUUAAAAUAUAGCUAAUUUAGUUUUCAUGCAUUUUUUUUAAGCCAGCAUCACACCCUGAAGGAAAUGGGAGUAAUGACUUCAUUGUUCUUUUAUCAAUAGGGACCAGGAAUUAAAAUAAUAAACUAUGAAAAGGGAGUUGUUUUUCCUGCUGUAGUUCAUUUUUAUGCCUGUUUAUGGAUGAAUAUUUAUGGUGAUUAAAAUAGUGCCCAGCACAUAGUACGUACUCAGGAAAUAAUUGUGAACUAUGAGUUUUCUAACCUUUAUUUGUGUAUAAGCAACCAAGGAAAUAAGACCAAAAUACUUUCUCAUAAAAACUUUGGAUCUCUCUCCUAGGAAACAGUAAACUCUUAUAAAAGAGGUAUUUAUUUUCUUCCAAUAUUGCCUUCAAGGUGAGUUGGAGUUUUAUCAGCAGUUGUUUUAUAAAAUUGUUAGAAAACUUUAAAAGGACUGAUUGUUAUCAUCUGUAACAUGCUACCCAGCAAGACAUUCCUGACCAGCUUGAAGUUAAGAAAAAAAUAAUCAGCCUUAAUUAAAGGCUGAUUAAAAACAGGAACACAAGUUAAGAGCAAUAAAACCCUCUUAGCUGUAGAUUGCGUGCUCAGUCGCUCAGUCGUGUCUGACUCUUUGCGACCCCACGGACUGGUGGACUAUAGUCCAUGGGGUCGCAAAGAGUCGGACACAACU